UUGUCUUAGGACAUUUUUAUCCUUAACACCUGUGAACUAUUGUAAUUUUUUGCUUUGGUCCUUCGGGGCCAGAGGAUUUAAUCAAAACCUUUUAUUAUUAACCUGAGUCUGAAAAUUGAAAAAUUGAAUUAUUCAAAACUUUCAACAACGGAUCUCUUGGUUCUCGCAUCGAUGAAGAACGCAGCGAACUGCGAUAAGUAAUGUGAAUUGCAGAAUUUUGUGAAUCAUCGAAUCUUUGAACGCACAUUGCGCCUUUUGGUAUUCCAGAAGGCAUACCUGUUUGAGAGUCAUUUCUUCCUCAAUCCUCGGAUUGGUGUUGAUUCGAGCGUUGCGAAACGCUGAGUCGAAAAGAAUUGGCAGGCAGGAAUUCAGUGCUUUACAGUGUCUUAGGUUUUACCAACUACGCUGGCCUAGUAACUGUUUUCUGAGCUGGCCUUUAUAACAGUUCUUUUAAAAGUUUGACCUCAAAUCAGGCAAGACUACCCGCUGAACUUAAGCAUAUCAAUAAGCGGAGGAAAAGAAACCAACCGGGAUUGCCCUAGUAACGGCGAGCGAAGCGGCAAAAGUCCAAAUUUGAAAUCUGGCGUCCUACGGGCGUCCGAGUUGUAAUUUGAAGAUGGUAACUUUGGGUUUGGCUCUUGCAUAAGUUCCUUGGAACAGGACGUCAUAGAGGGUGAGAAUCCCGUUCAUGGUAAGAUGCCCAUUCCUUUGUAAAGUGCCUUCGAAGAGUCGAGUUGUUUGGGAAUGCAGCUCUAAGUGGGUGGUAAAUUCCAUCUAAGACUAAAUAUUGGCGAGAGACCGAUAGCGAACAAGUACAGUGAUGGAAAGAUGAAAAGAACUUUGAAAAGAGAGUGAAAAAGUACGUGAAAUUGUUGAAAGGGAAGGGCUUGAAGUCAGACUUGGUAUUCAGUGAUCAACUGUCUUUCGGGACUGUGCACUCGCUGUUUACUGGGCCAACAUCGGUUUUGGCGGCGAGAUAAAUGCAUUGGAACGUGGCUCUAUCUUCGGGUGGAGUGUUAUAGCCUUUGUAAAUAUCGCCAGCUGGGACCGAGGACUGCGCAUCUGCUAGGAUGUUGGCGUAAUGAC
rnacentral:rRNA from 1 species